UACGAAGGGGGCUAGCGUUGUUCGGAAUUACUGGGCGUAAAGCGUAUGCAGGCGGACUUCUAAGUCGGGGGUGAAAUCCCGAGGCUCAACCUCGGAACUGCCUUCGAUACUGGAAGUCUUGAGUCCGGGAGAGGUGAGUGGAACUCCGAGUGUAGAGGUGAAAUUCGUAGAUAUUCGGAAGAACACCAGUGGCGAAGGCGGCUCACUGGCCCGGUACUGACGCUGAGAUACGAAAGCGUGGGGAGCAAACAGG
rnacentral:rRNA from 1 species